rnacentral:rRNA from 1 species
GAUUUGGCGGACGGGUGAGUAACGCGUUGGUGAUCUGCCUCAAAGUGUGGAAUAACGUUCCGAAAGGAACGCUAAUACCGCAUGUGCUCUCGAUUUUCAGAAAGUUGAGAGUAAAGGAUUUAUUCGCUUCAAGAGGAGCCUGCGUCCCAUCAGCUGGUUGGUAGGGUAACGGCCUACCAAGGCUAUGACGGGUAGGGGACCUGAGAGGGUGGCCCCCCACAAUGGAACUGAAACACGGUCCAUACACCUACGGGUGGCAGCAGUAGGGAAUAUUAGAAAUGGACGAAAGUCUGAUCUAGCAACACCGCGUGUGCGAUGAAGGCCUUCGGGUCGUAAAGCACUUUUUGGAAGGAAUAGGAAGGAAUGUACUUCCAGAAUAAGUCUCGGCUAACUACGUGCCAGCAGCCGCGGUAAUAAU